rnacentral:other from 1 species
GGCGAGCUGCCCGGUACGUGAGGAGAUCUUUUCCCUGGGGCCUAUACGAUUCUCGCGGGAGCUGUCCCUAGGCUUGGCCGUGGCCUUGCCCACAUGGCGCCCACCUACACUUGUAGGUACCCGGGAUCGUCAUUCUCCCACGGCCAUGGCGGCCCGCCA